AUGGGGAGCGGGCUCGCUGUCCUGAAGUACUCUCCCGCACUUCGUGGUGGGGACAGCGUGUGCCAGCCUCCAGUUAGCGGCUGUGACAGGCCGCCGCGGAGCGCGCGCCUCAGCUCUCCCCUCCUGAGCUGCGGAGAUGACAAGGAACGCGCACCUCCGUGUCCCUGCGAGAAAACAACCCAGUGGGUUCCUCAAGCCUGCAUUGUCCAUGAGCACCAUUUGGGAAUGGAGCAGAGGAGAGCUGGACCAUUGAUGCUUGUAAAACCUGCUGCUCAACUGAAGUAUGGAGUCCCAUUGUGUGCAAGUGCCGUGAAGGGGAACUGUUGGAUCACAGCCUGAACUCUGAUUGACCACCUGAGGCGAGAACUGAGUCAGCUGUGGGAGCACAGGUGGAGGCAAUUUACCUGUGUGAUCAGAAGGGGUGGAGCCUGGUUGUGGACCUGGUCCUGGUUAAGUGGACCCCACUUAAGGGCUGACUUCCUCCUGAAGAAGGUUCUCUUUCUGGAGAUUGCUUCUUGUGGCGUUUAUUGUGAGGCUUACGACACCAGUGAGUACUUUGCAUUUAUUUUUUAUUAUCUUUUCCAAUGGGGUAAUCUUACUAAGCCUAACUUUUU
rnacentral:lncRNA from 1 species